rnacentral:lncRNA from 1 species
CUGCGAAUUUAACAUUCGGACCGCAGUGACACAAAUUAGUCUCUUGGGCCUGGGAAGCCUUUGGAAAAAACUGUGUAUAAUUCAAAAAAAAAAAAAAAAAAAAAAAGUUUCAUUCACGUCGUUUCACGAAAAUUCAUAUUAAAUAGUUGAAAUGACGAUUUUGGUGAGAAAGUUGUGUGACGUUUAGGACACGGUGACGUACCCAACGAAGCUGUAGUAUUUGUUGAAAGAGGAGAUUAAUGCGAUUAGGACUCUUGCUGAAAAGUUUAUUCAUAAAAUAGAGCAAAUUAAAAUUAACAUAUGUUUUAAGACCACGAUAAACCUGGGGUUCUUAGAGUGAGGUUUUUAGCGGAAGUUAAGAAACGCUAAGAACUUCAUCCUAAGAACUCGGAUUAAUCAU